rnacentral:rRNA from 1 species
AUUGAACGCUGGCGGCAGGCCUAACACAUGCAAGUCGAGCGGAUGAAGGGAGCUUGCUCCUGGAUUCAGCGGCGGACGGGUGAGUAAUGCCUAGGAAUCUGCCUGGUAGAGGGGGAUAACGUCCGGAAACGGGCGCUAAUACCGCAUACGUCCUGAGGGAGAAAGUGGGGGAUCUUCGGACCUCACGCGAUCAGAUGAGACUAGGUCGGAUUAGCUAGUUGGUGGGGUAAAGGCCUACCAAGGCGACGAUCCGUAACUGGUCUGAGAGGAUGAUCAGCCACACUGGAACUGAGACACGGUCCAGACUCCUACGGGAGGCAGCAGUGGGGAAUAUUGGACAAAGGGCGAAAGCCUGAUCCAGCCAUGCCGCGUGUGUGAAGAAGGUCUUCGGAUUGUAAAGCACUUUAAGUUGGGAGGAAGGGCAGUAAGUUAAUACCUUGCUGUUUUGACGUUACCAACAGAAUAAGCACCGGCUAACUUCGUG